rnacentral:lncRNA from 1 species
UCAUACCGAUGUGUUUAAUAAAAUGGCUGUAGAAUAAAAUUUAGAUAUCGAUAUUCAAAAACGUGACUUCAAUCUUAUAGUCCCCCCAAGACAACAAAAAGGAUUGAGGCCCACGACACUAUACUAUGUUUAUAUCGCUUAUAUGGCAAUCAGAGCCUCUCUAGAGGUCAACUUGACAGAUCAUUAGAUGACGUCUAAACUGAAAUACUCACGAAACAAAGCUAC